rnacentral:rRNA from 1 species
UGUGCUAAGGUAGCGAAGUCAUUAGUUUUUUUAUUGGAAACUUGUAUGAGUGGAUGGAUAGGGAAUGUUUUGUGAAUUAAUUAUUUGGUGAAUUUUAUUUAUUUAUGAAAAGUUAAAUUUAUUCUAAGGGACGAGAAGACCCUAAAAUCUUUAUUCUAAUGGUUAUUACUUUUAGAUUUUAUUUGGGGGAAAGGGAAAUUUUUGUUUUUUGUUUUAUUAUUAAGAACUUUUUUAGGUUGCAUGGAUAGAUACUUUAGGGAUAACAGGAUAAUUUUUUUAUUGAGUUCUUAUUUUUAAGGAAGUUUGUUACCUCGAUGUUGGCUUUUGA